GACCGGAUGGCGCAACGGUAGCGCUUUCGACUCCAGAUCGAAUGGUUGGGGGUUCGAAUCCUUCUCCGGUCA
rnacentral:tRNA from 1 species